rnacentral:rRNA from 1 species
GGAGUUAGCCGGUGCUUCUUCUGUGAGUGAUGUCCUUCCUGCCGGCUAUUAACCCGCAGGCCUUCUUCCUCACUGAAAGUGCUUUACAACCCGAAGGCCUUCUUCACACACGCGGCAUGGCUGGAUCAGGGUUGCCCCCAUUGUCCAAUAUUCCCCACUGCUGCCUCCCGUAGGAGUCUGGGCCGUGUCUCAGUCCCAGUGUGGCUGAUCAUCCUCUCAGACCAGCUACGGAUCGUCGCCUUGGUGAGCCGUUACCUCACCAACCAGCUAAUCCGACAUAGGCUCAUCCGAUAGCGCGAGGCCCGAAGGUCCCCCGCUUUCCCCCGUAGGGCGUAUGCGGUAUUAGCCUGGGUUUCCCCAGGUUAUCCCCCACUACCGGGCAGAUUCCUAUGCAUUACUCACCCGUCCGACGCUCGCCACCACGGGAGCAAGCUCCCCGUGCUGCCGCUCGACUUGCAUGUGUUAGGCCUGCCGCCAGCGUUCAAUCUGAGCCAGGAUCAAACUCUGA